rnacentral:rRNA from 1 species
UGCCUGGUGGCCAUAGCGAGUAGGUCCCACCCGAUCCCAUUCCGAACUCGGAAGUGAAACUGCUCAGCGCCGAUGAUAGUGUGGGGUUACCCAUGUGAAAGUAGGUCACUGCCAGGC